UGGGGUGACCAACUGUCCUGGUUUGUCUGGGACUGAGAGAUUUCCUGGGAUGUAGGACUUUCAGGACCAUAACCUGGACAGCC
rnacentral:miRNA from 1 species